ensembl:snRNA Gm25918 U6 spliceosomal RNA
GUGCUCACUUCAUCAGCACAUAGACUAAAACUAGACUGGUACAGAGAUUGGCAUGGCCCUGCACAAAGAUGACAUGCAAAUUCGUGAGGUGUUUCAUAUUUUU